rnacentral:rRNA from 1 species
AUUGAACGCUGGCGGCGGGCCUAACACAUGCAAGUCGAGCGGAUGAAGGGAGCUUGCUCCUGGAUUCAGCGGCGGACGGGUGAGUAAUGCCUAGGAAUCUGCCUGGUAGUGGGGGAUAACGUCCGGAAACGGGCGCUAAUACCGCAUACGUCCUGAGGGAGAAAGUGGGGGAUCUUCGGACCUCACGCUAUCAGAUGAGCCUAGGUCGGAUUGGCUAGUUGGUGGGGUAAAGGCCUACCAAGGCGACGAUCCGUAACUGGUCUGAGAGGAUGAUCAGUCACACUGGAACUGAGACACGGUCCAGACUCCUACGGGAGGCAGCAGUGGGGAAUAUUGGACAAUGGGCGAAAGCCUGAUCCAGCCAUGCCGCGUGUGUGAAGAAGGUCUUCGGAUUGUAAAGCACUUUAAGUUGGGAGGAAGGGCAGUAAGUUAAUACCUUGCUGUUUUGACGUUACCAACAGAAUAAGCACCGGCUAACUUCGUG